rnacentral:rRNA from 1 species
UAGGGAAUAUUGCGCAAUGGGGGAAACCCUGACGCAGCAACGCCGCGUGAGUGAGGAAGGUCUUCGGAUUGUAAAACUCUUUUAUUUGGGAAAAAUGUCCAUGUGGCUAAUAUCCAUGUGGGGUGAUGGUACCAAAGGAAUAAGCACCGGCUAACUUCGUGCCAGCAGCCGCGGUAAUACGAAGGGUGCAAGCGUUGUUCGGAAUCAUUGGGCGUAAAGCGCGCGCAGGCGGAUCGAUAAGUCAGGUGUGAAAUCUCGGGGCUCAACCUCGAAACUGCGCCUGAAACUAUUGGUCUAGAAUGUCGGAGGGGGCAGGGGAAUUUCACGUGUAGGGGUAAAAUCCGUAGAGAUGUGAAGGAACACCGGAGGCGAAGGCGCCUGCCUGGACGACUAUUGACGC